UACGUAGGGUGCAAGCGUUGUCCGGAAUUAUUGGGCGUAAAGAGCUCGUAGGCGGUUUGUCGCGUCGAAUGUGAAAACCCGGGGCUCAACCCCGGGCCUGCAUUCGAUACGGGCAGACUAGAGUUCGGUAGGGGAGAUCGGAAUUCCUGGUGUAGCGGUGAAAUGCGCAGAUAUCAGGAGGAACACCGGUGGCGAAGGCGGAUCUCUGGGCCGUAACUGACGCUGAGGAGCGAAAGCAUGGGGAGCGAACAGG
rnacentral:rRNA from 1 species